UAAGUGUACAUCUGGGUCAUGCUCUAUGAAGAGACUGUUGUUAUCAAUGAGUUUGAUGCAUAUAUUUGUUAGCACUGACAGAUUCAGACACAGAUAUUUUCCACCUCCAAUGUUCAGGUAUGAUUUGCCUUAUUUUUAUUGUCCUUGCCUCCCUUCACAAAGAAGUGCAACAAAACAGUAGUCUCAUAACCUAGAAACUUUUAUUAGCAAUGAAGGCAAGAAAAUUAGCUGUGUGAGCAUUUUUUUUCUCCCUCUCUGCAUGCGGAGAUCUGGUGUCGCUGCUGGGAGCCCUGGGCUGGAUAUGUACUCAGGUGACUCAUGGGGAAGGAUACGCCCUUCUGAGAAGCAUCACCUUUCUCAAGAAGCAUGACAGAGCUCCCGAUAUUAGACUUUCAAGACGUCUACCAGGCCUUCUUUGGAAUAAAUCGUGUCAUUGAAUGGGUCUUGCCUCCAAUAAAUCUCUUGCACUUCCAACUCCAUCUUGGCAUCUACUUUCUGGAAGCCCCAACUGACCCAUUGUGCAAAAACACCUUUUGAGAGGUUACCCACUUAUUUCUAACGCUCACCUUAAUCCCAGCAAUAAAGGAGGUGAUGUGGGAACCCUUAGAAGUAACUGAUGGAAAGCAAAUAAAGUAGGGAAGAUAAUGAGUAGCUGGCAAUUGGCUCAUAAAUAUCCCUGGCACAGCCUGAGACAGUCCUUGGCUGCCUUUUCUGGAGCUGAAUCUUCCAUUGUGAUGAGAAAGAAGUUGCCAGCAGACACAGGUGUGCAGCCUCACCUCCAGCA